rnacentral:rRNA from 1 species
AGUGAACGCUGGCGGUAGGCCUAACACAUGCAAGUCGAACGGCAGCACAGUAAGAGCUUGCUCUUACGGGUGGCGAGUGGCGGACGGGUGAGGAAUACAUCGGAAUCUACUUUUUCGUGGGGGAUAACGUAGGGAAACUUACGCUAAUACCGCAUACGACCUACGGGUGAAAGCAGGGGAUCUUCGGACCUUGCGCGAUUGAAUGAGCCGAUGUCGGAUUAGCUAGUUGGCGGGGUAAAGGCCCACCAAGGCGACGAUCCGUAGCUGGUCUGAGAGGAUGAUCAGCCACAAUGGAACUGAGACACGGUCCAGACUCCUACGGGAGGCAGCAGUGGGGAAUAUUGGACAAUGGGCGCAAGCCUGAUCCAGCCAUACCGCGUGGGUGAAGAAGGCCUUCGGGUUGUAAAGCCCUUUUGUUGGGAAAGAAAAGCAGCAGGUUAAUACCCCGCUGUUCUGACGGUACCCAAAGAAUAAGCACCGGCUAACUUCGUGC